AUCUUUGUCUUCGUACAAGGUUUCCCCGCCGGCCUCCGCCGGUGCGGGAUGAAAAGGGAACUCCUGUGUGAUUCAGGGACUAUGCCCGUAGCUGUAAGCUCCGCAUCCGUCCGCACACUCUUGGCCACUGCCCCUCGGAGGGCGGGAAGGCGUGCGGCGGGGAGCAAGUCAGAAGACCUGCCUUGGGGAACAUGCCGUC
rnacentral:ncRNA from 2 species